rnacentral:miRNA from 15 species
GGCGAUUGUCGGUAUGGUCUCU